GGCGGCGAGGGCGGGCAGCAGCAGCGGGAGCAGGGGCGCCCCGGGCGCCGGGGCCGCUGGGGACGAACGCGGCGGGUCAGGCCCCGAAGCCCGGGCCGCGGUGGCCGCCUCAGGCGCCCGCUCUGGGGUGGGGGUGGGGGCAUCUUUCGGGACCGAACUCGCCGCAGCCUCCCUCUUUGUGCUCCUUUCCCCUGCUGCCCUUCCAGAUGCGCUCUUUCCAGAAAGGCAGCACACGCAUGUCUCUGCCGUGGCCCCAGAUCCUCCCCGCGCCGCCGUUUUGAGCGUUCACACUCAUUACCCAGGUCCGUCUGGGAGACCCGCCGGGCUCCCGCCCUCCCGGCCCGCAGCCUCCUGGCCAAAAUCCUCCCGGGACACCCCACCUGGACUGCUGCGAACGGGCCUCCACCCGCCUCCCCGGACCCGCAGCGCCCCCCGCUCCCUCAGGGUUCUGGGGUGAAGGGGUCUGAAUAGCACCAGGGGAGGCGGCAGGGCGGGCCUGUCCUACCUGCGCCCGAGCACUGCUGAGACGACAUCCCUUCCAGCGCCGCCACGUAGUCCAGCCCCAGCCAGCCGCGGUCCUGGAAGCACCGCAGGCAGACGACCUGCUCCUCACUGGGCUCAGGCAGGGUCACCCGCCCAGUGCCGCUAGCUGCAAAUUGCUUUACAUACAGUGACCCAAAGAGCAAGUCAUUUCAGGGCCCCACCACUCUGAUUGGAAGUCAUAAGCUUGACAACUGAUUGGCCUCUGUCACCCAAGCGGGUGUGGGGACACUAGGCCCGCAGGUGCCACUGGAAGAGGCGUUCAGAAGCACUGCGGUGCUCCAGCUCCUGGAUGCAGAUAUCUCCCCACAAACCUAAACAAUUUCGAGAGGGACUUGUGUUCUGCAACCAGUCACAGAAUAUCAGGUGAGCUGGGCGUGUCUUCACUGACCCACCCGCCCAGGGAUGCUGCACUCCUCUCCACCCUGCUCAGAAUCACUAGAAUGACCGUUCUGUGGCUACAGCCCUAAAAGAGCUACUAAAAAGACCAGAAGUAGUAUGAGAACUUAUGAAUACGAAUAUAAAUAAAGGACAUCUGGAGAACAUGCAUGAAUGUCUAUGUAAAGUGUUAAGUACUGAUCAAGGAGGAACGAAGGAGUCAGGUGGCUCUCAGUCUUUUUGGAGGGACUCGCAGAUCCUCCUGAAGAUCUGAUGAAAGCUGUCAGCCUUCUCCCCAGAAAAAUGCACAUCCACCCAGGAUUCUUCUCCCACAUUACUUCAGAGGACUUAGCAACCCCCUAGGGAAGCCCAGGGACCCAGAGUAAAGCACUCCUGGGAUAGAGGGGUUCUGUGGGGAAGAUGACAGGAAGGAACAUGCGUCAGUUCACAAUGUCAAAGUUUAGGAACAGGCCUGGCGAGCCAGCCAGCUCUGCAGUUCUGUGGUGCUGGUGGGUGUGGAGAAGGCAAUUUCAGCAUAAGUCGGGGGAGGGGGAGUGGUUAGAAACCAGUGGCUCCAUUGUGAGACAACCUGGGUUUAAAUUCUAGGUAUAUU
rnacentral:lncRNA from 10 species